UACGGAGGGGGCGAGCGUUAUUCGGAAUUAUUGGGCGUAAAGGGCGUGUAGGCGGCUUGACAAGUCAAAGGGGAAAUCCCUCGGCUCAACUGAGGAACUGCCUUUGAAACUGUCUGGCUUGAGGCCGGGAGGGGGUAGCGGAAUUCCCAGUGUAGCGGUGAAAUGCGUAGAUACUGGGAGGAACACCAGUGGCGAAGGCGGCUACCUGGACCGGUUCUGACGCUGAGGCGCGAAAGCGUGGGUAGCAAACAGG
rnacentral:rRNA from 1 species